rnacentral:rRNA from 1 species
UGCCAGCAGCCGCGGUAAUACGAAAGGGGCAAGUGUUAUUCGAAAUUAUUGGGCGUAAAGGGUACGUAGGCGAUUUAUUAAGUUAUUUGUUAAAGACCUUAGCCUAACUAAGGUACAGCAUCUAAUACUAAUAAAAUAGAAUAAGAUAGAAGAUAGUGGAAUUUCUAGUGUAGGUGUAAGUCCCGUAAAUAUUAGAAGGAACAUCAGUGGCGAAGGCGACUAUCUAAAUCUUUAUUGACGCUGAGGUACGAAGGCGUAGGUAGCGAAUGGGAUUAGAUA